rnacentral:lncRNA from 1 species
CGAGACCAGAGCCGCCGCGCGCGCACAGCGCCAGGUCUCGUCCCCAAACCCAUGGUGCCCGGUCGGAAGGGAGGCGCGGGGUGGGGGUGGGGCGAGGGGAUGGGCCCAGGAGGUGUGUGUGUGGGGGGGGGGCGCCGGUAGUGUCUGUCCGAAGAGGGGCGCCUGCCCAGUGUCCUGUCCGCAGGCUCACCGCCGGCAGCCUGGUGCACAAGAAGGCUGCCAAUAGUCACUGACCUGACCGCCGACAUACUGUGUGAACUGGUCGCUUCCCGUUGGCCUUGAACAAAAUCCCAGCUCCUUUCCGAGGCCCACGGGGGCUGUGUCUUCCAGCUUUUGCCUGGGAUCUCCUCCAGUGAACUCUGGAUGUGGGAUGUCCCCGGGUGGAAUCCUGCCUGCCCUGUCCUCCGUGGGUAACUCUGGGCAGGUUGCUGAACCUCUCUGGCCUCAGCCUCCACGACCUAAAUGGAGUUGCUAAUGGAACCCUGCCUUCAAGGGUCCUCAAGGGCACUUAAUGAACUGCCAGUCGAGUGCCAGCAUGGUGCCAGGCACAGGGUGCCUACAAAUGUUAGCGGGUCUCACCCCACCCCUGCCACAUACAUGUUUUCCUUUCCUUGGACCUCCCUAAAUGAGUCCCUGCCCCAGUGCCUUUGCACUUGGAGGUGGAGCUCUUCCCUUGUUCCCCCGGCUUCUGUUUCAGACUUCAGCCUAGCGGUCCCCUCUGAGACCUCUUCGCGACCACCUGCCUUUCCCAUCCCACCCAUCACGAUUGCAAAGCUCUUCGUUUUCUUCCUAAUGUUUAUCCUGAUCGGAAUGUUUUUCUCUAUUUGCUCUGGGUUUAUUGUCUGUCUCCUCCUCAAAGCAGAAGUUGUAGGAGAUGGGGAUCUUGUUUGUCUCGUCCUCUGCAGGUCCCGGCACCUUGGCCAGUGUCUGCUACGUAGCAGGGGUACUCUGUAAAAACUGUAGAUGGGUGAACGGAGUCGCAUCUCCCGGCCUGCACAUCAAAGUAGUUGAACCACCUCGUGUCUAAGUGCCUACUUCUGUUGUUCAAUGAGAGGAAUUGUCAGCAUAUUAGUUAGAUUUUUUUUUUUACAUAAAAAAAAAAGACGGUAAUUUUCUGAACGAGGUUCAGGUUUUCGAGAAGGCUGUCAAUUAGAGACUUUACUCGGUGUCCUGAUCUUUCCACUAGUUUUGACCAUGAGGCUGGAGUCGGUUCUUUUUUGAGCUCUCCCUGUGGCCCCUGAACCUGGGAAGGGACGGAGGGGCCUUCUGGAUUGGCUCCCCAGUCCUGACGUCUUCCCCGAUGGCCCGGGACCGCUGUAGACCUCCACCCCAGGGCGCAGCAAUGUCCCAGCUGCAUGUCAAGCUACCCGCUGCAUCAUGGGCCACGGGCCUUUUGUCCUCAACCUCCCCCCGUCAGAGCUUUUCUGCUCUUUUCAUUGUCCCUCUUUGGCUUUAAUCGCAGAUUCACACCUGUCUUUCGCCCUCCCCAGAGCCAGCGCCUCUAUUAGACGGGCUACCGCUGGGCUUGCCAGGCCGUGUGAAGGAGCCGAGAGAGGCUGGGUGGGGCUGCCUCGGCAUCUCAGCUCAUGGUGGGGAGAUGAGUCAACUGGCUGGGGUCACCGUGUCUCCGUGCCCGAGCUGGAGCCAGGGACAGAGUAUUUCUGGAAAGCCCGGCCUGGCUCCCCAUCUCACGCUAUUUAUUUCCUCGGUGAGGUCACGAUAAACCAUGAGUAUCUCGGACAAGGUCACCAUCCUUGGCGGCCGGCUCCCAUGCCGGGGUCGCGUCUUUGGGAAAGACUUUGAAGACCGCUGGCUCUCCGGAGAGCGGAGGGGGAUGGUCUCAGAGCACACACGGAGCUCACCAAGGUCACACAGCCGGAGACGGAUGGGGUCUGAACCCGGGACUAGAGCCUGCACUCCUAAUCACCACGCUGCGCUGAACCUCUGUCUCGGUCUCUGCCCUCCAGGGUCAUGGAGCAUCAGAAGCAAAGACAGGAGGGGGGUGAGGGGCUGUGGUUCCCCGCACAGGGUGUCAGUAGUGCUACGUAAUGGCUCUUCCUAGAUCCACCAGGCCCUGUGCUAAUUGCUCUGCACACAUCACAGCACCUUAAGACGCAGGAAGUCACAUCGCCUCCACUUUACGGAUAAGACGCAGAGAGGUCCUGCAGCCUGCCCGAGGUCUCAGGGCCGGUAAAUGGCAGAACCCCCAGAGCCUCGCUCCGGGGCCCCUGCUCUGAUCCCUGCCGGGUGUGAGGAAAGCCUCAGCCUCAAAGUCCGGGUGCCCGGGAGAAUGCUGAGCCCCUUCGGUGUCACCAAAAACACCCGGCAUUUGGAGCCAGAGGACUUGGCCUCGAGCCCCGGGGCGGCUGCUUGCUAACUGAAACCCCUGGGGAGUCUCCAUUUCCUGUAAGAUGAGGGUCAUGAGGCCAGCUCUACCUGUCUUCCAGGGCCACCCGUGAGGAUUAACGACGAUAAUGUCCAGGGACGUGAGCGGUGAAGCGCAAACUGCUGGCCUCAGAAAACAUUCAGUUCUGUGGGCGCUGGUCCGCGAGGUCACUGUGGGAACCAGUGACUGGCCUACCUCAAAGAUCCUGCCACACGGCCCCGGGGAAAAACGAAGGGGGGGUUAUUUUCAUUGCGAAACAAAUGACUAUAAUGAGGUGUCUCGUUUGGUGAUACAGAUGAUUAGACAAUUCAGUCGGUUACAGUCGGGGACUUUUUGUUUGUUGGUUUCUUUUUUUUUUUUUUUUAACGUUUAUUUAUUUUUGAGACAGAGAGA